rnacentral:rRNA from 1 species
UACGGGGGGGGGCAAGCGUUGUUCGGAAUUACUGGGCGUAAAGGGCUCGUAGGCGGCCAACUAAGUCAGACGUGAAAUCCCUCGGCUUAACCGGGGAACUGCGUCUGAUACUGGAUGGCUUGAGUUUGGGAGAGGGAUGCGGAAUUCCUGGUGUAGCGGUGAAAUGCGCAGAGUAUCAGGAAGAACACCAAUGGCGAAAGCAGCUCUCUGGGACGGUACUGACGCUGAGACGCGAAAGCGUGGGGAGCGAACAGG